rnacentral:misc_RNA from 1 species
GGGUGCCAAGCUCUUGGGCAAAUUAAUGACUGGUUCUGAGCAAAGCAAUUCAGCCUCAAUCAUGUCUGGACGCAGCGAUGAAGAAACAUGGAAUCUGGCCAUCGACCUAGCAAAUACCGUUAUUCUUCCAAUGGUACUAAAAUCAGCUCUGGAGCUCAACGUCAUCGACAUCAUUUCCACAGCUGGGAACAGUGGUGCGUCCCUCUCAGCGCCCGAGAUUGCACAACGGAUUCCGGAGGCAAAAAACCCAGAAGCACCUGUUUUACUGGACCGGAUGUUGCGUCUUUUGGCAACCUAUGAUAUUGUGAAAUGCUCGUCGAACACCAAAGAGAAUGGCGAGGUUGAAAGAUUGUAUGCUCCAGGACCCAUAUGCAAAUUCCUUACCAAGAAUAAAAAUGGGAGCGGAUCUGCUGCUCCUUUAUUGUUGUUGCACCACGAUGAGGUCUUCAUGAAGAGCUGGUACCAUUUAAAUGAAGCAAUACUUGAAGGUGGAACUCCAUUCAACAGAGCCUAUGGAAUGAAUCAAUUUGAAUACCCAGGAACUGAUCAAAGGUUCAAUAGGGUAUUCAAUGACGCCAUGUCAAGCUACACUACAUAUUUGGUGAAGAAGAUCCUUGAUGCUUACAAGGGAUUUGAUGGCCUCAAGUCGUUAGUUGAUGUGGGCGGUAAUAGUGGAGUUACUCUCAACAGUAUCACUUCAAAAUAUCCUCAUAUUAAGGGCAUUAAUUAUGAUUUACCUCAUGUAUUAGCCGAUGCGCCUUCAUAUCCAGGUACUAGAUUUGAGUAAUAAUAAACCGGGUGUAACCAAAUGACUCAAUGUAAUACAUGGCAGAAGAACCUGUAACCAAAUAUGUAUGUAUGGAUGGCAGGAGUGGAGCAUGUUGCAGGAGAUAUGUUUAAGAGUGUUCCAAAGGGAGACGCAAUUAUCCUCAAGUGGGUACUUCAUGAUUGGAACGAUGAUCUUUGCUUGAAACUUCUCAAGAACUGCUGGGAAGCUCUUCCUAGUAACGGUAAGGUGAUUGUUGUGGAGUCGAUUCUACCCACGGUCCCAGAGAAUAAUGUUACUUCACAAGUUUUGCACAAGGAAGAUUUAAUGUUGUUAUCUUUUAAUGUUGGAGGAAAAGAGAGGACCCGACAGGAGUUUGAGGCCUUGGCAUCGAAAUCGGGCUUUUCAAGUUGUGAAUUUAUAUGCUGUGCUUACAAUAGCUGGGUUAUAGAGUUCCACAAAUGAGAAUGUGGAUCUUAAUUAUAUUAUUAAUUUAUGCUCUGUUGCUCUGUGCAAGAUCAUGCUACACAGAACGUGAUGUUCUGUUUCGUAUCAGUAGGAUAAUAGCAUGGUCGCUAGCUAUUUGUUUGUGAAUUUAAUGAUCGUUGUAAGCUUGAAUUGGUGUUUUUAAUAAAUUUGGAAUUUGAGUCUCCA